CAAGCAGUUUCCGUAGUGUAGUGGUUAUCACGUUUGCCUAACACGUGAAAGGUUCCUGGUUUUUAAACCGGGGGGAAACAUUUUACGUAUAACCAA